GUCCACACGGUAAACGAUGGAUACUCGCUGUUGGCGAUAUACGGUCAGCGGCCAAGUGAAAACGUUAAGUAUCCCACCUGGGGAGUACGCCGGCAACGGUGAAACUCAAAGGAAUUGACGGGGCCCGCACAAGCGGAGGAACAUGUGGUUUAAUUCGAUGAUACGCGAGGAACCUUACCCGGGCUUGAACUGCACCCGAAUUUACCGGAGACGGUAAAGCCGCAAGGCGGGUGUGGAGGUGCUGCAUGGUUGUCGU
rnacentral:rRNA from 1 species